rnacentral:rRNA from 1 species
CAAUAGCGUAUAUUAAAGUUGUUGCAGUUAAAAAGCUCGUAGUUGAAUUUUUGCUUGCCGCCGAUGUCGGAACUUCCGUACGUUCGGCGGCGUGCAUCCUUGGGUGGAACCUGUGUGGCAUUAGGUUGUCGUGCAGGGGAUGCUCAUCGUUUACUGUGAAAAAAUUAGAGUGUUCAAAGCAGGCUUACGCCGUUGAAUAUAUUAGCAUGGAAUAAUAAGAUAGGACCUUGGUACUAUUUUGUUGGUUUGCGCACCGAGGUAAUGAUUAACAGGGACAGUUGGGGGUAUACGUAUUCCAUUGUCAGAGGUGAAAUUCUUGGAUUUCUGGAAGACGAACUACUGCGAAAGCAUUUACCAAGGAUGUUUUCAUUAA